UAAAGAAACAAUGUGUUGUUAAAAUGCCUAAUUUAAUAUCAUUUAUAAAGGCACAUGUGUUUCAAAUAUUGAUUUUUAAUUUUUCAUAAUUAAAUGUUAUUUUUAAAUUAAAGUAACUGUGUAAUUACAUUUGUGCAACCAAACAACAUGCUGCAGCGGUCCAUUUUGACCAGUAGCUCGGGUUUUUGCACCAGUUUUCACCCAAAAUCCAACAUCAAUCCAAGGCCUUACAGACGCAAACAAAACAUGCACAAAUAUAUAAAAACACGCUACGGACUCAACCGCAGCCUCAGAAUUCCCAACGGAGGUCUAGUUUUCUAAGUCACCCCGUAACGACCUAGCAGGUCAUUACAGUUAAGAAUAUGGUUGAUAUACGUAUGGUUGUACAUCAAAACUAACUAAUAUAUAAUAAUUUAUAUUUAAUAAAUUAUUACUUGUAAGUUUUAAUAUAACAAAUAAUUAUGUAAUUUUAUUUAAUUGAUUUUGAAUAUCUAAUUAUAGCACAAUUAAUAUCCAUGUGCUUGUAUCUAACUACAUUGAUCACUAAUUAUAUUAAAUUUAAAUUAUCAUAUACAUUAUUGAUUUUAUGAUGUAAAUGCAAUAUUAAUAACUUACUAGUUAUCAUAAAUCUAAUUGAACAUUAAAAAACAACAAAUAUAUUUCAUAAUUUUUUUCAUACACAUAAUUAAUUUAUUUUGUCCUGCUUAAUGUAGUUAUGAUUCUUUUUGUUUUUUUAUAGGUAUACUUAAUUGUCAUUGUUGUUAUCUUAUUUACAUUAUCGUAUUUGCAUAUAAAAAAAAAAAAUAGAAGACAUAUAUAAAACAAGAAAAGAAUGGCAAUUAACUAAAGCUAAAAAUCCAAAACCUAAUCCUCAUAUUUUUUUUACCUCCAGCCGCCACAACCCUCUACGGUUCCUUAUUCCCUUUGUCAAUUCCACCCCAAAUCUUAUUCCAUAUCAAAAAAUCAUAAGGGGUUUUCUGGUGUUAUGUAAUGGAGUUGGGUAAAUGACUAAUCAAUUUUUUUUUAGAAUGGAGGGGCAAAAGUGUUGCCUAUAUUUUAAGUGAUGGUUUCUCUGUAUUAAAUCUACAUCAGCAAGAACUCCAUAAAUGGUCUAUCAUAAAUUUGAAGCAGGUUCUGAAAUGCGAUUAAGGAGAUGCUAUUGAUCGCUUUUGAUAGAAUUAUCUUGAUCUUUCUCCAAGGUACAUUUAUGGAAUUACUAUAGCAGAAGCAAUGACAAACUAGAGGGUAGAUAUUGAUCAAAGUAAGAUUGGAGGCUGCGUGGGAGGAGAGAAAUCAGAAGGUUGUGCGGCUUUGAGUCUCAAGCAAGAUACUACUAUUGUAAUUGGUGUCAUAGAAGAAUUAUGUAUUGUGAAUGUUUGAAAUUUUAGAUAUGUAACUAUAUGUAAAUUGAAACUUACUCUAUAUGUAAAUUGAAACUUACUCUGGAAUCCAAUUUUUUUUCAUUUGUAUAGAA